rnacentral:rRNA from 1 species
GACGAACGCUGGCGGCGUGCCUAAUACAUGCAAGUAGAACGCAGUUGCGAACGGGUGAGUAAAGCGUAGGUACCUGCCUCAUAGCGGGGGAUAACUUUUGGAAACGAUAGCUAAUACCGCAUACUGUGAGAUGGACCUGCGUUGUCGUAGUUAGUUGGUGAGGUAAAGGCUCACCAAGGCGACGAUACAUAGCCGACCUGAGAGGGGUAGUGGCAAAACUGGGACUGAGAAACGUACAAGACUCUUAAGGGACGAAGCAGUAGGGAAUAUUGGGCAAUUGACGGAAGUCUGACCGAGCAACGCCGAGUGAGGGAAGAAGUUUUGUGGAUCGUAAAGCUCUGUUGGUAGAGAAGCGGUAACUAACCAGAAAGGGACGGCUAACCACGUGCCAGCAGCCGCGGUAAUAC